AUUCAUCACUGAGGUGGAGGAGCAGAGACCCUCAGGGCCUGCCAGCUCUGAGCCUCUGGCCCACCGGACACCUUGAACUCCAGGCUUCCUGGCAGACCAGGCAGUGUUUUCGUACAAAGUGAAAAAGGUUCCAGGACUGAAGCCGCACAGGCCACUCCCACAGGUCACCAGAAACUAAGACGUGAGUGACGCCCGGCAGUGGCCGACUCUUUCGUGGUAGCUGCGCCCAUGACUUCUGGAGACAUCAGAGGCUUCCAGGCCCGUUUUCUGCAUUCAGCCACGGCCCACGCUUCCGGGUCUGGGGUCU
rnacentral:antisense_RNA from 1 species